GCCAGUGUGGCAUAGUGGUUAGAGUGUUGGACUCUGGAGACCAGGGUUCGAUUCCCGCUCGGCCA